rnacentral:rRNA from 1 species
GGCGCACGGGUGCGGAACGCGUAUGGAAUCUACCUCUUUCUGGGGAAUAGCCCAUGGAAACGUGGAUUAAUACCCCAUAGUAUUCAGAAAUCGCAUGAUUUUUGAAUUAAAGCUUUGGCGGAAAGAGAUGACCAUGCGUAUCAUUAGCUAGUAGGUGAGGUAACGGCUCACCUAGGCUACGAUGAUUAGGGGUCCUGAGAGGGAGAUCCCCCACACUGGUACUGAGACACGGACCAGACUCCUACGGGAGGCAGCAGUGAGGAAUAUUGGACAAUGGUCGAAAGACUGAUCCAGCCAUGCCGCGUGCAGGAUGAAUGCCCUAUGGGUUGUAAACUGCUUUUAUACGGGAAGAACACCACCCACGUGUGGGUGACUGACGGUACCGUAAGAAUAAGGACCGGCUAACUCCGUGCCAGCAGCCGCGGUAAUACGGAGGGUCCAAGCGUUAUCCGGAAUCAUUGGGUUUAAAGGGUCCGUAGGCGGGCUAUUAAGUCAGAGGUGAAAGUUUGCAGCUCAACUGUAAAAUUGCCUUUGAUACUGGUAGUCUUGAGUUAUAGUGAAGUGGUUAGAAUAUGUGGUGUAGCGGUGAAAUGCAUAGAUAUCACAUAGAAUACCAAUUGCGAAGGCAGAUCACUAACUAUAUACUGACGCUGAUGGACGAAAGCGUGGGGAGCGAACGGGAUUAGAUACCCCGGUAGUCCACGCCGU